GCGGUUGCUGCUGACUUCAAAGGCACUGCUUCCCUUGGAUCCACAUCAAGGACUGGAAUGAGAAAAGGGUCCCCUGACCUUCUUAUAUCACCUCGCCUAAGUGUCCCCAGCGGUGCUCUGCAGAGCAGAGGCCCCAGCUCCAAAACAACAGAACACAAAGUACUUUAACCUUUGAAUGUGGCAAGACCUCCGUGAAAAAUCGUUUCUCAGCCCAUUUGAUGGGAAAAGGGUGCUAUUUUUGUGACUACCUGUAACAUCUGAGUAUGCUCGUCAGAAGUCACUCCGAGGAAAAAUCUGAUUAUUAGUUGGGAAAAUGGGGCAAGGAGGAGGCAGAGAAGAGAAGUAGCUCUGCUGGGUAUGUGGCAGUGUGACUUCUAGAACUGUUUGUGUCCAUGUGGACUUGGACAAGCCACUUCAGGACUCUGGGUCUGGGUCUUCUCAUCCAAAACAAGGUAGGGAAGAGCCGCGCAGCCAGCAGAGCUGCUGCCUUCAGCACUGGGGACCCCAGGGCAGACAUAGGGCUUCUGCCUUCUGCCCAUUCCACAUGCUGGAGUCCUCCUCGGGGUGCAGUCCUGGCAAGCGUGUGUGUCUGUGGUCAAGACGACAGACCUUUCCUGCCAUUGCUUUAGUGGGAAAAUUGCAGAAAAAGGACUACAAACACCUCUGCAGUCUUCCUUUGAUUAAUGAAAUCAGGGCAUUACUCAGAAUUGCUCCUGGGGGCGCAGUGACCCACGCAUGUAACCCAGUAUUUUGGGAGGCUGAGGCAGGUGGAUCACAUGAGG
rnacentral:lncRNA from 1 species